CACACAGAACAAACAAUGAUUUCUAUUAUUCUAAUGCUGGGGACACUCUGUCUGCUUGCUCAAGUGUCUCAUGAAGAGGUUCAGUCUCCUGAGUCUCUGUCUGUUAAAGCAGGAGAAUCUGUCUCUAUCAGCUGCACUGGGACCAGCGGAGUUGGUAAUGACAUGAGCUGGUAUCUGCAGAAACCUGGAGAAGCUCCUAAACUCCUGAUCUACACAGCCAGUGAACUUGAAUCUGGAGUCCCAGAUCGGUUCAGUGGAAGUGGAUCUGAACCUGAUUUCACACUGAACAUACGUGGAGUCCAGUCUGAGGAUGCAGGAGUUUAUUACUGUAUGGGGGCUUAUGAUGGUCCAGUGUUCACACAGUGAAACAGCCUCGUGCAAAAACCUCCCUCAGUC